CAGCCGCCGCGGGAAUACGUAGGUGGCAAGCGUUGUCCGGAAUUAUUGGGCGUAAGGGCUCGCAGGCGGUUUCUUAAGUCUGAUGUGAAAGCCCCCGGCUCAACCGGGGAGGGUCAUUGGAAACUGGGAAACUUGAGUGCAGAAGAGGAGAGUGGAAUUCCACGUGUAGCGGUGAAAUGCGUAGAGAUGUGGAGGAACACCAGUGGCGAAGGCGACUCUCUGGUCUGUAACUGACGCUGAGGAGCGAAAGCGUGGGGAGCGAACAGGAUUAGAUACCCCCGUAGUCCCUGUCUCUUAUACA
rnacentral:rRNA from 1 species